GAUGAACGCUGGCGGCGUGCCUAAUACAUGCAAGUCGAGCGAACAGACGAGGAGCUUGCUCCUCUGACGUUAGCGGCGGACGGGUGAGUAACACGUGGAUAACCUACCUAUAAGACUGGGAUAACUUCGGGAAACCGGAGCUAAUACCGGAUAAUAUAUUGAACCGCAUGGUUCAAUAGUGAAAGACGGCUUUUCUGUCUCUUAUAGAUGGAUCCGCGCCGCAUUAGCUAGUUGGUAAGGUAACGGCUUACCAAGGCAACGAUGCGUAGCCGACCUGAGAGGGUGAUCGGCCACACUGGAACUGAGACACGGUCCAGACUCCUACGGGAGGCAGCAGUAGGGAAUCUUCCGCAAAGGGCGAAAGCCUGACGGAGCAACGCCGCGUGAGUGAUGAAGGUCUUCGGAUCGUAAAACUCUGUUAUUAGGGAAGAACAAAUGUGUAAGUAACUAUGCACGUCUUGACGGUACCUAAUCAGAAAGCCACGGCUAACUACGUG
rnacentral:rRNA from 1 species